rnacentral:rRNA from 1 species
GACGUACGCUGGCGGCGUGCCUAACACAUGCAAGUCGAGCGAGUGAAUCUCCUUCGGGAGUGAAACUAGCGGCGGACGGGUGAGUAACACGUGGGCAACCUGCCUCAUAGAGGGGAAUAGCCUUUCGAAAGGAAGAUUAAUACCGCAUAAGAUUGUAGCUUCGCAUGAAGUAGCAAUUAAAGGAGUAAUCCGCUAUGAGAUGGGCCCGCGGCGCAUUAGCUAGUUGGUGAGGUAACGGCUCACCAAGGCGACGAUGCGUAGCCGACCUGAGGGGGUGGUCGGCCACAUUGGGACUGAGACACGGCCCAGACUCCUACGGGAGGCAGCAGUGGGGAAUAUUGCACAAGUGGGGAAACCCUGAUGCAGCAACGCCGCGUGAGUGAUGACGGCCUUCGGGUUGUAAAACUCUGUCUUCAGGGACGAUAAUGACGGUACCUGAGGAGGAAGCCACGGCUAACUACGUGCCAGCCGCCGCCGUAA